CUAAGUUUUCAGAGAAAUGGUAGUAUUUGUAUAACAGUAUAACAGAGCAAAGAAAAAAAUACAGGCAGGUAGAGCAUUAAAUUCUCAAUAGUAGGACAUAAACAUAAUGCAAAAAUUUUAUCGUAAAGUAUAUUUAAAAAAAUUUCAAACUUUUACCAAUUUGCACUCUGUCCCAUAUUUUUCAAAACGCUGCUAAUACGGUCACAGAUGCAACAAAAACGUAAGGAAGAAAAUUGUAGAGAAUUGAAUUUCCUACAAAAAAGUCAGCGUAACUAUGUUUCUAUCUUCAACCGUUUAGGCCCCAAAGUAAUUCAAAAUCUCCCAAGCGACGGAUUUGCUUCAUUUUGCCGAUGGUCAAGUAUUGGAAGUUAAUUUAUACCUAAACCGUUGGAGAUCGAAAUAUGUUGUCGCGGACUUUUUUGUAGAGAAUUUAAUUCUCUACAACUUUGUUCCUCACACUUUUUUUCUAUCUUCAACCGUAUUCACAGCGUUCGCAAAAUUGUGAUAAUUCUUUGCGCACCGUCGCAUAUUUAUCAAAACGCUGGGAAUACGGUUCAAGAUACAAAAAAAGUGUAAGGAACAAAGUAAGAACAAAUCAAACUCAGUCAGUUUGACACAAGUGACGCAUUUUUCAUGAAUGAAACAUCGAUUUUCACACUCGACAAGACCUUGAGCCGAACAUUUGAGAGAUUAUGGGCUUGAAUAACCUGAGCAAGCGAGUGGAAUGGUCUAGGGCAGAAUCGAUCUAUGACGAAAUUUGCAAAAACUGAACAGGAAGUUGAUGAAUUAAUUCUCGCAAAUGACCGGCUUGAACCAGUGUGGAUUAAGCAGUUGUAAUUUAGUCUCUCUGGAUUGGGGUCACACCCAGGCGGCGGCCCGGACCUGGGGCAUGAAAACCGCACGUGAUUCAGCACGUUUCGGGCCAUAAUGAGCUUUAAAAUCUUGUGCACUAAACCAAUUAGAGCCACUUAGAGCUUCAGUUCGCAAACAUACCUCAGCGUAGUGAUGGUGGACACCGUGUUCUUUGAGAGCUUCGCUCAAGUCGUGGAUGUCAAUCUUGCCGUUUCCGUCUUUGUCCAGUUGCUUGAAGAGUUUCCCGAGACGUUCCUCAUCUUCGAUUGGUAGCUCAUGCAGGUAGUGUGGAGGACGAUGAGAAAAGGGAAUGUCUUCGUACUGCGACAGUUUAUUCGGCAUUUUCACAUCAAAACCACUCCCGAUGCAACACCAAGAGCUAAUUUAUGACGAUUUUUGGUGGAAAAGCAACUAAUGCAAUGCCGCAAUGCGACUUCGCGAAAA